AACGAACGCUGGCGGCAGGCUUAACACAUGCAAGUCGAGCGCGUAGCAAUACGAGCGGCAGACGGGUGAGUAACGCGUGGGAAUCUACCUUUUGCUACGGAAUAACUCAGGGAAACUUGUGCUAAUACCGUAUGUGCCCUUUUGGGGAAAGAUUUAUCGGCAAGAGAUGAGCCCGCGUUGGAUUAGGUAGUUGGUGGGGUAAUGGCCUACCAAGCCGACGAUCCAUAACUGGUCUGAGAGGAUGAUCAGCCACAUUGGGACUGAGACACGGCCCAAACUCCUACGGGAGGCAGCAGUGGGGAAUAUUGGACAAUGGGCGCAAGCCUGAUCCAGCCAUGCCGCGUGAGUGAUGAAGGCCCUAGGGUUGUAAAGCUCUUUCACCGGUGAAGAUAAUGACGGUAACCGGAGAAGAAGCCCCGGCUAACUUCGUGCCAGCCGCCGCGGUAA
rnacentral:rRNA from 1 species